UAGAAUGUGGUGCAAUAUGGUUAACACAUCCGACUAUGAUUCAGAAGAUUCCAGAUUCUAAUCCUGGCAUGCUCA